rnacentral:rRNA from 1 species
UAACUGAAGAGUUUGAUCAUGGCUCAGAUUGAACGCUGGCGGCAGGCUUAACACAUGCAAGUCGAGCGGGGAAAGGUAGCUUGCUACCGGACCUAGCGGCGGACGGGUGAGUAAUGCUUAGGAAUCUGCCUAUUAGUGGGGGACAACAUCUCGAAAGGGAUGCUAAUACCGCAUACGUCCUACGGGAGAAAGCAGGGGAUCUUCGGACCUUGCGCUAAUAGAUGAGCCUAAGUCGGAUUAGCUAGUUGGUGGGGUAAAGG